GACGAACGCUGGCGGCGUGCCUAACACAUGCAAGUCGAACGGAACUGUUUUGAAAGAUUUCUUCGGAAUGAUUUUGAUUUAGUUUAGUGGCGGACGGGUGAGUAACGCGUGAGUAACCUGCCUUCAAGAGGGGAAUAACAUUCUGAAAAGAAUGCUAAUACCGCAUGACAUAUCGGAACCACAUGGUUUUGAUAUCAAAGAUUUUAUCGCUUGAAGAUGGACUCGCGUCCGAUUAGUUAGUUGGUGAGGUAACGGCUCACCAAGACCGCGAUCGGUAGCCGGACUGAGAGGUUGAACGGCCACAUUGGGACUGAGACACGGCCCAGACUCCUACGGGAGGCAGCAGUGGGGGAUAUUGCGCAAUGGGGGCAACCCUGACGCAGCAACGCCGCGUGAAGGAUGAAGGUUUUCGGAUUGUAAACUUCUUUUAUUAAGGACGAAAAAUGACGGUACUUAAUGAAUAAGCUCCGGCUAACUACGUG
rnacentral:rRNA from 1 species